UGUUCUCUUGUUGUGCCUUGAGAUGAGUCUCUUUGUGUUCUCUUGGUGUGCCUUGAGAUUGAGUUAUCUGUGUGGUGUUAUUCCCCAGUAUUGGGGACGCAGGCUUGGGACUCUGCUGGAGUCAAGUCUGAGUUGUAGGCUUGGUAGUUGACUAUUGCCCGUGGCGUUGGGUUGGCGUUGUGAGGCCGGAGUGACUAUGGCACUGAGAUUAAGGUGUGCUAUAGCCCGUUGAAUGUAAUCUGUAAUUGCCAUUGAUAUUUAUUCAUAAUGUAUGCCUCAUAAUAUCAUAUAUAUCAUUAACUCAUUAAACCUUUGUUGUUAUA